ACUACAGCAGGACAGGACAGCUACUAUGUGUCCUACCAGAGGGAUCCAUUCCUCAAACUCAAACUGCUCAAAUAUUCUCUGCCUAAGCUUGUUUACAACCCCAACCCAUAAGAUACAUCAUCGCUGCAGUGCCAGAGUGGAACCAGAAUGACACAUACAACCUGUACCUCUCCGACACCCUGGCCAUGGAGAAUGUCAAGACCACCCAGAUGCUAGACCUGUAUGAGGAUGAAUCCCCAGUUUAUCAUCCAGACACUGGCAGGUGUGAUGGAGGGAGGAAGAGGAGUGAGAUAUGGGUCUGAUAUUCAGAGUCAGAAGUCAUGAACAAUGUUAUUAC